GAUUGAUAUUAAGGGGCUCGCAGUAUAUUGACUGUACAAAGGUAGCAUAAUCAAUAGUCUUUUAAAUGGAGACUUGUAUGAAAGAUUUGAUGAAAUAUAAACUGUCUCUAAUUUAAAAAUAGAAAUUAAUUUUUUAAUUAAAAAGUUAAAAUAUAUUUAAAAGACGAGAAGACCCUAUAGAGUUUUAUAAUUUAAUAAUAACAAUUAAUUAUAUAAAUUUAAAUUUUAAUUAGUAGAAUUAUUUUAUUGGGGUGAUAGAAAAAUUAAAAUAACUUUUUUUAAAAAUUAAACAUAAAUAAGUGAAUAUAUGAUCCAUAAUUAAUGAUUAAAAGAAAAAAUUACCUUAGGGAUAACAGCGUAAUUUUUUUUUUUAGUACAAAUAAAAAAAAAAGGUUGCGACCUCGAUGUUGGAUUAAAAUAAAAUUUAAAUGCAAAAGUUUAAAAUUUUGAUCUGUUCGAUCAUUAAAAUCUUACAUGAUCUGAGUUCA
rnacentral:rRNA from 1 species